UACGAAGGGUGCUAGCGUUGUUCGGAAUCACUGGGCGUAAAGGGUGCGUAGGCGGGUCUUUAAGUCAGGGGUGAAAUCCUGGAGCUCAACUCCAGAACUGCCUUUGAUACUGAGGAUCUUGAGUUCGGAAGAGGUGAGUGGAACUGCGAGUGUAGAGGUGAAAUUCGUAGAUAUUCGCAAGAACACCAGUGGCGAAGGCGGCUCACUGGCACGAUACUGACGCUGAGGCACGAAAGCGUGGGGAGCAAACAGG
rnacentral:rRNA from 1 species